GACCCUAUCGUCUAGAAGCCUAGGACAUCGCCCUUUCACGGCGGUAACCGGGGUUCGAAUCCCCGUAGGGUCGCCA
rnacentral:tRNA from 1 species